UAUAUACUCCCUCCGUCCCAUAUUAAAUGACUUUCUAUUACAUGUAUCUAAACGCAUUUUGGAUAUAGAUACAUGCAUAUUUGGACAAAUUUGAGUCACUUGAUACGAGACAUUGGAGGGAGUACUUG
rnacentral:pre_miRNA from 1 species